rnacentral:rRNA from 1 species
GACGAACGCUGGCGGCGUGCCUAAUACAUGCAAGUAGAACGCAGUUGCGAACGGGUGAGUAACGCGUAGGUAACUUCCUCAUAGCGGGGGAUAACUAUCGGAAACGAUAGCUAAUACCCCUUACCGUGAGAUGGACCUGCGUUGUAUUAGCUAGUUGGUGUGGUAAAGGCUCACCAAGGCCACGAUACAUAGCCUCCCUGAGAGGUUGAUCAGCCGCACUUGGCAUGAGUCACGGCCCAAAAUCCUGCGGUGGGCAGCAGUAGGGAAUCUUGUGGAAUGUACGGAAGUCUGACCUAACUACGCCGCGUGGGUGCAGAAGGUUUUCGGUGCGUAAAGCUCUGUUGUCAGGGAAGCGGUAACUAACCCUGAAGGGACGGCUAACUACGUGCCAGCAGCCGCGGUAAUUC